GCCACAGGAAGAGGCGGAGUUUUCAGGCCAUUGCCCUCGGUGUUCCGCGGCGCUGGAUUCGGCGCUGCUCCUGUCUCCCUGUCCCCGCCUCUCUGAUUUUCUGACCCUCAAACUUGGAUUCACCGGCGGAACUUUAAAACCCACCCAUGUCUGGUUUCUCUUGCCAGAGCACUGGUUUCAUUGUUCUGACUCGGCCCAGGGUCGCAUUCUUAAAAAGUGUAACGGACAGUGACGUUUGAAAGCCACGGUUUCACUUAGUCCUCUUCCAUAGUUCCUUCAGUCUUUCUGGUCGGUCCUUCGGGUCCGCCUUUAUCCCCCGAGGCUGUUAAUAGCUCCAGGCCCCUCCCACUUAAGGAGGCCACCUCUCCCUCACCAGCUUAUGACAAAGUGGUGGGAAGGAUAGCUGUUACAAUAUGAUGCAGUGCAUUGCUGCUGGGCAUCAGAUUGUUGCUUUAGCAAAUCUGAGACCAGCUGAAAACCAAGUGGGGUCAGAUGAGCUGGAUAGCUACAUGUAUCAGACAGUGGGUCAUCACGCAAUUGAUUUGUAUGCAGAAGCGAUGGCUCUUCCCCUCUAUCGCCGCACCAUAAGAGGAAGGAGUGUGGAUACAGGACGAGUGUACACCAAAUGUGAAGGUGAUGAGGUUGAAGAUCUCUAUGAGCUUUUGAAACUUGUUAAGGAAAAAGAAGAAGUAGAGGGGAUAUCAGUAGGUGCUAUACUUUCUGACUAUCAGCGUGUUCGAGUAGAAAAUGUGUGUAAAAGGCUUAAUCUCCAGCCUUUAGCUUACCUUUGGCAGAGAAACCAGGAAGAUUUGCUCCGAGAGAUGAUAUCAUCUAACAUUCAAGCAAUCAUCAUCAAAGUAGCAGCUUUGGGUUUAGAUCCAGAUAAGCAUCUUGGAAAAACCCUGGAUCAAAUGGAACCUUAUCUCUUAGAGCUUUCUAAGAAGUAUGGAGUCCAUGUUUGUGGAGAAGGUGGAGAGUAUGAAACAUUCACUUUGGAUUGCCCUCUAUUUAAGAAGAAAAUAAUUGUUGAUUCAUCAGAAGUGGUCACACAUUCAGCUGAUGCAUUUGCACCUGUUGCUUAUCUACGCUUUUUGGAAUUGCACUUGGAGGACAAGGUGUCCCCAGUGCCUGACAACUACAGAACAUCUAAUUAUAUACAUAAUUCUUGAAGAACAUUUUUGGACAUUGUUUACUAAGCUACCAUUUCUGUAUGAAGAAAACUACAUAGCAUUUCCUCAGCUAGUAUAUCCAGCUCUUUCUCUGCAUUUUUUUUGUUCUUAGAAAUAUAUAUCUUUAUCAGAAGAAGUUAAUAGAAACAUUGAUUAAUUGGGGAAAUGUGAAAGUCUCAUUCGUUAUUAUUGGUGACUUCCUCAGGAUUCACUUUCUCUGACUUUAGUUACCAUGUCCUAUCCAUGACUGUACAUGAAGGGACAAAGGAAGAAGGAAGAUGAAUGAUGAUUUUUACUCACCAACAUUCGUGUUCAGUGCAGCUUUUCUACCCCACCCUCUCCCCCACCUUUGUCUUCAAGCUACAGAGCAGAAAAAUGAUUUGGUAAGAGGGAGCAAAGCAUUUCACAAGCUUUAAGUCCUAAUUCUACAAACCUCAAUGAUAUAACUUGAGAUUCAGAGAGAUUUUGGCCUUGGGCACUAAGUCGCUGCUGCUGCAAAUGGUCAUUGGAGCAGAGUAAUAAAUCAAGCAUCAGAUUCACUCAAAUUUAGAGGGCUACUUGACUCAUUUCUGUCCCUAAUAUAUGGAUUUCAGUAGUAGUAACAAAAUACCACUGUGUCGAGAGGAUCAAACUGGACAGUGGAAAAGUGUUUUUUAAUCCAAAAUCUGUGGUGGACCUAUCAGUUUAGAGGAAGAUAAUAAAAAUAACCAAUCAAUUGAUUUUCUCCUCUCCUUUCAAAUUGUAGUUGACUAUAUAUUUUGCCCUACUAUUUAUUUAGCUGUUAAGCACUUGUAUGCAGCUUGUUAUUGUUAUUAUCAUUGUUGUUUUAAAAAUAAAG